UGUGGGAAAGAUUCUAUCGGCGUGGGAUGGGGUCGCGUCCUAUCAGCUUGUUGGUGAGGUAACGGCUCACCAAGGCUUCGACGGGUAGCCGGCCUGAGAGGGCGACCGGCCACAUUGGGACUGAGAUACGGCCCAGACUCCUACGGGAGGCAGCAGUGGGGAAUAUUGCACAAUGGGCGCAAGCCUGAUGCAGCGACGCCGCGUGAGGGAUGGAGGCCUUCGGGUUGUAAACCUCUUUUGUUUGGGAGCAAGCCUUCGGGUGAGUGUACCUUUCGAAUAAGCGCCGGCUAACUACGUGCCAGCAGCCGCGGUAAUACGUAGGGCGCAAGCGUUAUCCGGAUUUAUUGGGCGUAAAGGGCUCGUAGGCGGCUCGUCGCGUCCGGUGUGAAAGUCCAUCGCUUAACGGUGGAUCUGCGCCGGGUACGGGCGGGCUG
rnacentral:rRNA from 1 species